AGUCACUGACAUUAGACUACCCCGUAGUCCCAGCCGUAAACUAUGCGCGUUAGGUGUAUCGGUGACCACGAGUUACCGAGGUGCCGAAGGGAAACCGUGAAACGUGCCGCCUGGGAAGUACGGUCGCAAGGCUGAAACUUAAAGGAAUUGGCGGGGAGCACCACAACGGGUGGAGCCUGCGGUUUAAUUGGACUCAACGCCGGGAAGCUCACCGGAUAAGACAGCGGAAUGAUUGCCGGGCUGAAGACUCUGCAUGACUAGCUG
rnacentral:rRNA from 1 species